CCUACGGGUGGCUGCAGUGGGGAAUAUUGGACAAUGGGGGCAACCCUGAUCCAGCCAUGCCGCGUGUGUGAAGAAGGCCCUCGGGUUGUAAAGCACUUUCAGUGAGGAAGAACGCCUGGUGGUUAAUACCCAUCAGGAAAGACAUCACUCACAGAAGAAGCACCGGCUAACUCCGUGCCAGCAGCCGCGGUAAUACGGAGGGUGCGAGCGUUAAUCGGAAUUACUGGGCGUAAAGCGCGCGUAGGUGGCUUGAUAAGCCGGUUGUGAAAGCCCCGGGCUCAACCUGGGAACGGCAUCCGGAACUGUCAAGCUAGAGUGCAGGAGAGGAAGGUAGAAUUCCCGGUGUAGCGGUGAAAUGCGUAGAGAUCGGGAGGAAUACCAGUGGCGAAGGCGGCCUUCUGGACUGACACUGAAACUGAGGUGCGAAAGCGUGGGUAGCAAACAGGAUUAGAUACCCGUGUAGUC
rnacentral:rRNA from 1 species